AUGAGAGAGAAUGAGAGACAUUCAUGAAUGAUAUCACAUGCCUGUGUAAGUAUACUCACUUAUGCAAAUAUUGUGAAGUAUUGAACUGGUGAUACCCUCAGUCACUUUUCCAUAUUAUGUUUUAAGAUAAAUUUCUUCACUGAAUCUGAUUUAGCCAGCUAGGAGGAACCUGGGCAAGAGUCACCUGUCUUCACUCCUGAAAUUCUGCACUGCAGACCCAUGCCACCAUGCCCCUGCUUCUUUAUGUGGGUGCCGGAGACCCCAAUUCUGUCACUCAUGCUUAGACAGCAGGCACGUGUCCAGCCAACUGUCUCCACAGCCUUUCCUACAUGGAGUAAAUUACUCUAUGUUGUGGCAUAUAACUGUUAUACAUGGUGUUGGCUUCGGUCUUCUAAACUUUUGCUGAGGCAGUCUAUGUUUGUGAUCCUGUGUGUCCUGUGUUAUUUUCUACUGGCCUGUGCUUUCCUUCUGUUGUGACCUGUCAUUGACUUAUGUUAGGUUGGGAAGAAAAGCCAGGUGGCAGCAGCAUUAACGCCUCCUGCCUUGUAGGCUCAGGACAGCUGUUUUCCUAACCUCAGAUGAUGAAUAUGCAAGUGUUCUUCCUGCUGUUAUAUUUUUGAACAAGCUGUUGAACAAUUAUUUGUUAAAUACCGAGUAGAGUCCUCUAGUGUGCCCAUCUUGGAGGUCUUGGUUCGUUAUGGCUUUGAGAAUUAUGUUUAGCCAACUCUAUACAUGAUAGGGAUACUUGGUUAUCUCCUUUUAUCCUUGUGUGAGCUUUGGUAGUAGGUAUUUCAAGAAACUUGACUUUUCUUUAAGCUCUAGGAUUUGAGUGAAGAGUUCCUCCCAGCUAAUGUCUUUAUUAUCCACAGUGUCCAGAGGCGUUUUAGUGAUGGGCCAUCCUGUGUUUCUGAGAGUGGUAACUUGUACCUUUGGUUUCUUGUGGUUCUGUUGUUGUAGAUUUGUUGAUCUGUUUUGGGUAUUUUUUUAAACAUUGGGCUUUGGUUUUAUUGAUUUUCCUCUUGUUUCCCUAUUCUCUACUCUUGUUUUUCUUUCUUUUCCUCUGCCUCAGGGCCUUUGUAGUCAUUCACCUUCUUCUGCCUUUGUCAGGUGGAAGCUUAAGCUGCUCACUUUAGACUGUUCCUAUUUUCUAUUCCCACUCAACAUUACACGUUUCCUCGUAGUUACUGCUUUUGCUUCAUCUAACAAAUAUUUGCUACUUUGUGUUUUCUGCUUUGUACAAGAUAUUUUCAACUUUCUCUUGAGAUCCUUUGCUGAACUGAUGUGUUAUUUAGAGCUAUUAAGUUCAAUCUCCAAGUAUUUGGAGAGUUUCAAUCUUUCUUAGGUCAACUUUUAAUUUAAUUCUCUCACAGCUGGGAAGCAUUUGCUAUGUAGUUACUAUUCUUUUGCAUUUACCAAACACUAGUCCUCUUGUAAAUGCUGCACACUUGUUAAAAAUAAUGUGUGUUUUGUUUUCAGUUUUUAUUGAAGAAAACAUUCUCUAAACGUCAGUCGGAAUCACAUUAAAUGCAGAUGAUCAGUGAUGUUGUUCAGGUCAUCUAGCCCUGGUGACUGUCCUCCCCGAUCUGUGAGUGACUAAGGAGGGUGCGCUCAAGCUUCACCUGUCAUAUGGUUGACACCUGCCAUUAAUUGUGGGAAACUCUCAGUUGCUAGUGCUUCACAUGCUUUUCUUUUCCUGCAUUUUCUUUGAUAUCCCCACUAUGUGCACACACUUACCACAUUUGUCUUUCAGAGUUCUGGAAUAUCCCAUUUCAGUUCCUCUUUGCAUCUCAGUGCUGGAGACUUCUACCGGCCCAUUCCUAUGCUUGCUCGUUCUUUCCCUGGCUCUGUCCAUUCUGCUGGGAUUAAAGGUGUGUGCAAAGGGCUGAGCCACAUUGCAAUUAGAACCAGAUAUUAUCAGUAAAUUAUACAAUCUUGGUUUACGGUAUGAUCAAAUAUCCUGCGACAGAUCAUCUGCUGCAAAAAGAAGUUUCCCAGUAAGAAUUCAGAGGAGACAAGCACCCCUUCUGGCUGGGCCCAGGAUCUCGGCCUUUUCCUUUGCCUGCAUGAGAUACCCGGAGAAUUUCCUCUUUCUAGCAAUCUAAUGUUUCAACCGUCUGAUAGACCAAGGGCAGGACUCUUCAGAGUAUCCCUUUAGAAUAUCUUUAUUUUUUCCUAUAAGGAUAGUUAUAUUAUCUAUAUCAGAGAAGGCAUGUAGCUUCUUUAUAUUUAAUUCUUUUAAUCUUCUUGCAUAAGAACGGGACCCACGGUAACUAUUAAGUUAUCUGAUGUUAAAACUUGCUUUGAAGAAUAGGUAAUGAUGAGUAAUCAGAACACUAACUGUAACCAUCGUAAGGUAACUAUACAUAAAGUAUUGAAAGAGAGAGCCCAAGCUUGUAUAAGAGAGUCAACUGUAGUUGGAUAAUGACAGACUGCCUCCUAGAAGUGAACAAGUGAGAUCUUGGGAUGCUACCUUGACCCAGGCAGGACAGUUGGGAGACUUGUAAGAUAUAGUUGUAUCCUAAUGUGGAUGGACACUAUGGGCACCAAGGUUCUAGUUCCAUGGGGAGUUUGUAUCUGUCAGUCCUUGAGCCCCUUAGGUUAUGCAACUUCCCUCUCUCGUUUUAUUUUUAAACAGAAUUCAAGGAAUUUCAGUACAAGAAGUUGAAAUGAAACCUAAGCCAUGUGAGUCGAGGAGCUGUUCUUUGCAGGGCCCUGGGUUAAUUCUCUGGUGGCUUUCCAACCUUGAAUUGAGAUCAGGAACAAUUAUCUGGAAAAAAGUUAUGGGCAUAAUUAGAAACUGAGUCAGAUUCUGACUUGUGUCUCCUGGAACUCAAACUUUCUGCUUCGAGGUUCAGCUCCUUCCCUAUUCUCCAUUCUCAAUGGUCACAGUGUUAUAGAACAAGUUGAAAGAGGCAUUUGUCCUUAUUCGGCUCUUCACCCUUACAAAUGAGAGAAAGAAUUAGACGGAUGAAAUGGUUUGUGUUAGACUGUAUAGCUGCACUGUGACAAAUGUGUGACCACGUCAAAGCAAGUGUCACCAUGUGAUACCAAUUAACAAGGAAGAAACAGACAGAAAAUGAUAAUUCAGUUCCUAUGAAGCUCAAAGACCAACCAUUCAGUGCACUAAUGCCCAGACCUGCCUGUAACAUGAGGAUGCCCUGGGCAAGUAUUGCUACUGUGGUGGGAUUGAUUAGCUAUACCAAAUAUAGAACAAUUUCUAGAGAUUGUGUCUGGAAUUUUCUGGUUUUGCAGUGCUCUGUGUGACUGGGUAACUUUUAAUCAAGACCAAUUUUGGAGUCAUUGAGCUAGUUCAAAAUUUCAUUUACCAAUAGAUGGAAGCCAAGGGUAGAAAACAGUUUGUUUAAAAUCACUGUGACAAUUGAGUAAAAACUCUGAACCCCAGGUUUAAGGAUGUAUUGUUAUGCCCAAGUGGGUACUGGGCCUCCUAAUAUUUUCCCUGGAUUCUUCAUUCUUGUGGAAUAAUUUACAGCUAUCAGUUCACGUGACAAGAACAAGCAAUCCUGGGCCUCAGUAGAAGAGAAAUGAUUUCAAGGAAGCUUGCUUACGAAUCUUAACAAAGAAGACAUGAACAGAUUCUACUGAGCCUGGGAAACACCUAGGUCGUCUUUCGUCCCCUCAGAAGAAGGAAGCCUCUGAUGACUUGACAUGGCUUGCCUAGCUGGACCAAACUAUGAAGUGAGCAUAGAGGAACAACGGUUGCCACAGGAUUCCAAUUAAAGGACAAGAACCAGGAAGAACCCUACAUUGAGGGUGCCCAGGAGUCUCUGAGACUACAUACUGCACAAGUUGUAUGGUAAUGUCCCAUUCGUUAUUCUGUUAAAGCAGCAUGAUGCAACCCUGAAGGAUAUUUGGGAUAAGGUCUGAGUAUGAGAGGUACAUAAACUCUUUUUUUUUUUUUU
rnacentral:sRNA from 1 species